rnacentral:rRNA from 1 species
CGGCUGAGUACACGUGGGCAACCUGCCCUUUGCACUGGGAUAGCCUCGGGAAACCGAGGUUAAUACCGGAUACUCCAUAUUUGUCGCAUGGCGAAUAUGGGAAAGCUCCGGCGGCAAAGGAUGGGCCCGCGGCCUGUUAGCUAGUUGGUGGGGUAGUGGCCUACCAAGGCAAUGAUGGGUAGCCGGGUUGAGAGACCGACCGGCCAGAUUGGGACUGAGACACGGCCCAGACUCCUACGGGAGGCAGCAGUGGGGAAUCUUGCACAAUGGGCGAAAGCCUGAUGCAGCGACGCCGCGUGCGGGAUGAAGGCCUUCGGGUUGUAAACCGCUUUCAGCAGGGACGAGGCCGCAAGGUGACGGUACCUGCAGAAGAAGCCCCGGGCUAACUACGUGCCAGCAGCCGCGGUAAAU